rnacentral:pre_miRNA from 1 species
GUCACCCAGGAAUCUUGUUCAAAUGCAGAUUCUGAUUCAGUAGAGCUGGGGUGAAGCCUGAGAUUCUGGAUUUCUAACAAAUUCCUAGGUGAUGGUGA